GGGUGGGACCGGCUGGUCCCAGGGCAAGGGGCAGCCUGUGGGGCUGAGACGCCUGCUGAGCUCCCAGGGGGGCAGGAUGUCGGAGGUGGGGGAGCUCACCCAGACACCGCUGCAGAAAGUGUGGAUCCCGCAUGCCAGCAACCGGCUGCACCAGCGCAGGGGGUCCGCCGUGCCUCAGUUUACCAAUUCGCCCACGAUGGUGAUCCUGGUGGGGCUGCCGGCCCGUGGGAAGACCUAUAUCUCCAAGAAGCUGACCCACUACCUGAACUGGAUUGGGAUCCCCACCAAGGUGUUCAACGUGGGGCAGUACCGGCGCGAGGCCGUGCAGACCUACCAGAACUACGAGUUCUUCCGGCCAGAUAACCAGGAGGCGAUGCACAUUCGCAGGCAGUGCGCUCUGGCCGCUCUGAAAGACGUCCACACUUACCUGAGCCGGGAGGAGGGACAGGUCGCGGUGUUUGACGCCACCAACACGACACGGGAGCGACGGAACAUGAUCCUGCAGUUCGCCGGCGACCAUGGCUACAAGGUGUUUUUCAUCGAGUCCAUCUGCGACGACCCGGAUAUCAUCGAGGAGAACAUCACACAAGUGAAGCUGAGCAGUCCGGACUACAAGGACUGUAACCGGGAGGAGGUGGUGGAGGAUUUCCUCAAGCGCAUCGAGUGCUACCAGCUCCACUACCAGCCCCUGGACGACGAGCUGGACAGCGCCCUGUCCUACAUCAAGAUCUUCAACGUGGGGCUGCGGUACCUGGUGAACCGGGUGCAGGACCACGUGCAGAGCCGCACCGUGUACUACCUGAUGAACAUCCACGUCACGCCGCGCGCCAUCUACCUGACCCGGCACGGCGAGAGCCGGCACAACCUGCAGGGGCGCAUCGGGGGCGACUCGGGGCUCUCCCCCCGCGGCAAGCAGUUUGCCUCUGCCUUGGCCGGCUUCAUCGAGAGCCAGAACAUCCGGGAGCUCAAGGUGUGGACCAGCCACAUGAAGCGGACGAUCCAGACGGCCGAGGCCCUGCAUGUGCCCUACGAGCAGUGGAAGGCGCUGAACGAGAUUGACGCGGGCGUCUGUGAGGAGAUGUCCUAUGAGGAGAUCCAGGCCCAUCACCCGGAGGAGUUUGCCCUGCGUGAUCAAGACAAGUACCGAUACCGAUACCCCAAAGGGGAGCCCCCCCCACAAUUGUCCCCAGUCAUACGAGGACCUGGUGCAGCGGCUGGAGCCCGUCAUCAUGGAGCUGGAGCGGCAGGAGAAUGUGCUGGUGAUCUGCCAUCAGGCCGUCAUGCGCUGCCUGCUGGCUUACUUCCUGGACAAGAGUCGCAGAGGAGCUGCCCUAUCUGAAAUGCCCACUUCACACUGUGCUCAAACUGACCCCCGUGGCAUACGGUUGUCAAGUGGAGUCCAUUUUCCUCAAUGUGGAGGCCGUGAACACGCACCGGGAGCGCCCCCAGAAUGUCGACGUGACGCGGGAGCCCGAGGAAGCACUGGGCACGGUGCCCCCCCACUAUUAACUGCUCCUGCCCAUUAAAGCCGAUUCUCUCCUUU